AGUUUGAGUCAGCCACAAAUCAAAGAAUAAUUUUCUCUCUCCUGUGACGGGUUGCUUUCUUCAUCUCUCCCAUCACGCGCUCUGAAGAAAUUUCACAGAUUCCGUCAUGUCUUCCGGCGGAAACUCUACUCUCUCCACCGCCGCGGUGGUUGACAAGCUGUUCUUCUGUUACCAGUGCAAUCGCACAGUCACCAUCUCAAUCUCCUCCGCCGACGAUCCUUUCUGCCCCCGUUGCUCGGGUGGGUUUCUAGAAGAAUACGAAGAACCAAACCCUAAUCCAUCCCCAAAUCUCAACCCUAUCGGUUUCCUCCCGAUGGCUGAUCCUUUCUCCACCUUGCUCCCGCUCUUAUUCGGCUCCUCCUCCGCUCCUCCUUCCUCGAACCCGAGCUUCUUCGGUCCACGCUCUACCGAGAAUCAGCAUCAGCCUCAGGGUGGAGGAGCGUUUGAUCCGGUGUCGUUUCUCCAGAACCAUCUCCAGCAUCUGCAAUCUAGCGGCACUCACGUCCAGUUCGUGAUCGAGGAUCAUCCCUCGGAUCCGUUUAACCGGAUACCUGGAAACAUGGGGGACUACUUCUUUGGCCCUGGCCUUGAGCAGCUGAUUCAGCAGCUCGCGGAGAAUGACCCUAACCGACACGGAACUCCUCCUGCUUCGAAAUCCGCGAUCGACGCGCUUCCGACUGUUAAGGUGACGUUGGAUAUGUUGAACUCUGAGAUGAACCAGUGCGCCGUUUGUAUGGAUGAGUUCGAGGAUGGCCGCGAUGUGAAGCAGAUGCCUUGCAAGCAUGUGUUUCAUCAGGAUUGCUUGAUGCCGUGGCUUGAGUUGCAUAACUCUUGUCCGGUUUGUCGGUAUGAGUUGCCUACUGAUGAUCCUGAUUAUGAGAGCAGGGGGCAAAGGCAAGGUCAAGGAGGUCAGAUGAUGAGUGGGGGUGGGCAGGGAUCGGUUGAGGGUCAGCAGACCGCAAGGAGGUUUAGUAUACAGCUGCCUUUGCGGUUCAGGAGUCAGGAUGGCUCUGGUUCUGGACGUGGUGCUGGUGGUGGAGGUGGGUCUCAUCUUGAAACCAGACAGGAAGAUUUGGAUUGAGGUUUGUACCGUCUUCUCUAUCUUGCCCCUUACUAAGGACCCUUUGUUUGAUUUUUGUGCGACUAGUGGUGCUGGUGGUGGAAGUCUUUGUGCGACUAGUCUACUUACUGUUUUAUGGGAUUGUGAAAGUAAGGACAAGAGUCAUUGCUUGGAAACUGAAUUGGAAGAAGGAUGUGCACAAGUUCUCACACAAAAAGGCAGUUUCAUUAGGGAAAAGAAAGUGACAUUGAGAGUUUACCAUAUCUUGUACAUUUAACCACGACAAAAGUAUUUUAUUGUCUUAUUAUUUUGGGAUUAUACAACGGAUGUGAGUUCUUCAAAAAAAUCGCAGUAUUUCAUCAAAAGUGGUAUUUGUUUA